GAAACAUUCUCUGUCUGUUCAGCCAUGUGCUGUUGAUCCUGGUCCCACAAAAUGUGUUAAUUGUACAUAGUUAUUAAUAGCAAUAGUUACUUUAUAUUUUUUUCUUUUUUUGAUGUUUUUUCUUGUGGAUAGUAAUAUUAAAUAUAUUUUUUUCAAUCUUUCUAUAAUCUUAAUUUUUUUAAACAGAUGGAGCAGCCAAGCAUAUACUGUGAGUUGUUAUACAAGAAGCUUAAGAUGCUUCAGAAGUUUGCUGUGUGCUUACCACGGGUUCUGCCAGCCAUCUCAAGAGGGGACCCACCUAUUCUUUCAUUAAUUGAGCAAAACAUUAUCUUG
rnacentral:lncRNA from 1 species